rnacentral:rRNA from 1 species
UGGGGAAUAUUGGGCAAUGGGGGAAACCCUGACCCAGCAACGCCGCGUGAAGGAAGAAGGCUUUCGGGUUGUAAACUUCUUUGACGAGGGACGAAAUAAAUGACGGUACCUCGAAAACAAGCCACGGCUAACUACGUGCCAGCAGCCGCGGUAAUACGUAGGUGGCAAGCGUUGUCCGGAUUUACUGGGUGUAAAGGGCGCGUAGGCGGGAUUACAAGUCAGAUGUGAAAUGCCAGGGCUUAACCCUGGAGCUGCAUUUGAAACUGUAGUUCUUGAGUAUCGGAGAGGCAGGCGGAAUUCCUAGUGUAGCGGUGAAAUGCGUAGAUAUUAGGAGGAACACCAGUGGCGAAGGCGGCCUGCUGGACGACAACUGACGCUGAGGCGCGAAAGCGUGGGGAGCAAACA